GUGUCCGUCCGGACUGUCCCGCGAACUGUCGCCCCUCUCCUCACACAGUCACCUUCAGGUCUGUGCCCCGGGGGCGCCUCCUGCAGCCGACCUUGAGGGCGCAGAAGAGUGGCAGAACUCUUGAAGGCUGGAAGAAUCACAAAUUGCACCAUAACAUCUAUGUCAUCUUGUUCUGAAUUCACAGGCAGCAUCAUAGAGUCACUUAUAUUAACGUAUGAUUUAGUGACACCUACCACAAUGCACUUACUUUAAGGAAAAUCAUCGUGGCAUUGUUCUUUGAAACUGAAGAGCAACUCUCAGGAGAUUGUUGGGAGAUCAAUACCAUCUUACACUGCUGCGCUUGCUGAUGGCCCUGUAGGAUCUAAGGAUGAGUCGAGCUAAUUUAGAAGCAGAGGCGAUUCAAGAAGGCGGCUCACUAUCACAUUUUCAAAGAUGCACCUUAUUUUCCGAUGUGUGUACUAUCUCAGAACAUUUCAGGUGGAUGAAGAUUCAUCAGGACCUUGGCAACACUGGCUCUACCGUCUGUCUCCAUCGACACUGACAUAUCAACAUCGCUGAGUGUUUCUAACAGCUUCUGUACAGAAAGCAGCUGCUGCAAUGUACUUUGGAUCUUAGGGGCACUGUAAUCAUUUGUACUCAUCAUGUAUAUUUACAGUAUUUCUAAACCCCAAGUACCCUGCUACAAUGUCGUUGCCACUUUAAAUAACUUGUGUUCAAUGAAAGAACCAUAGUGGAACAAGGGAUUUAUACACUGUAUAGGUUGUGUUGAGAAGAGAAGUAGCGGGCAAGAAGGCCAGGAAAUAGAGAAAUAAGAAAAGGAGAGAGAUAAGAGCAGAUCCAGACAGCAGAGACAGAGGGACAGAGUCAAGCAGAGACAGACAGCAUGACACUGUAAGACAGGGUGACAGAGACAAACAACUGUGUCUCUGCAGUGUCUCUCCAGGCGAUACAGUUGCUUUACUUGUCAACUUGCCAAAUGUCGAGUGUUGAGUGGAGUUUUCCCCCCACAAAGACAGACGUUGGUUGAACAUUUAAAUCAGCAAAGAGGAAAGGGCACAUUUCCUUUCAAACUUCAGGAUAUUUUGCUCACAGUUUAUCAACGCCAACUCGAUAAAAACAAGUCAUGGAAAGUAAUUGCUGGCACAAUAAAAGACAUUGAUUUCACACUGAGUUCCAGAGUUCCCUUAAAACUGUAUUACAAAGCUACACCUUAGGCUGAUUGAAAUGCAGGCGGCUGGUAAGAGCAAUGUUGGCGGGGAGAGAGAGUGAUUUGUUCAUAUGGGUCUGGCAUCUGAUACCUGCCGUUGUUUCACCGAAGCAGGCAAUUUGCUUUAAUCCAUUGCAUGAACGCUUUGCAGUGCAAGUAUUCCAAAAUGUAAUACUGUGGAUUUUUAAUAAACUCACAAAUCUACUUCA